rnacentral:rRNA from 1 species
GACGAACGCUGGCGGCGUGCUUAACACAUGCAAGUCGAACGGUGAAGGGGCCUGCUUUUGUGGGCCCUGGAUGAGUGGCGAACGGGUGAGUAACACGUGAGUAACCUGCCCCCUUCUUCUGGAUAACCGCAUGAAAGUGUGGCUAAUACGGGAUAUUCUGGGUCUGUCGCAUGAUGGGUCUGGGAAAGAUUGCGCCUUUGGGUGUUUUUGGUGGGGGAUGGGCUCGCGGCCUAUCAGCUUGUUGGUGGGGUGAUGGCCUACCAAGGCGGUGACGGGUAGCCGGCCUGAGAGGGUGGACGGUCACACUGGGACUGGGACACGGCCCAGACUCCUACGGGAGGCAGCAGUGGGGAAUAUUGCACAAUGGGCGCAAGCCUGAUGCAGCGACGCCGCGUGAGGGAUGGAGGCCUUCGGGUUGUAAACCUCUUUCGCCAGUGAAGCAGGCCUGCUCCUUGUGGGUGGGUUGACGGUAGCUGGAUAAGAAGCGCCGGCUAACUACGUG